GGGGCUGACAGGUUUCGACACCAGUUUCGUUGUUCGUACGUGCGACCAGAGUUGCUCAGACUCUCAAAACGGGGCAACAACAAGAAUUGCCAACCAGCAGUUCGCUCUCGCGGCCUAAUCCCCGUUGAGAGACAUCGUGACCAGCAAUGGCGCACGGGGCCAGUUCACCGCAGCCCGGCAACAGAAGCGGAGGAUGACAGCGGGAAAGACAGCUGACGUCGGGAAAGACCGGUGCCAUGCCGGAAAGACGGCACGCGACUCAGGCAACUGAGUAGUCGACCCGCCGGCGGUGUUGCGUCAGCACCGAAGCGGGGAUGGUCGUAUCGCGGGCGCGCAAUGCCUGAUGGACGGGGGUUCGAUUCCCCCCAGCUCCACCG
rnacentral:tmRNA from 1 species